GGGUGAUAGCCAAUUUUAUUGGGCCUAAACGCGUCCGUAUUUCGGCCGAACGGGUCCGUCGGGAAAUCCACCCGCUUAACGGGUGGGCGUCCGGCGGAACCCCAGUCUUGAAUUGCCGGGAGACCAGAGGGUACGUCCGGGGUAGAGUGAAAUCCUGUAAUCCUGGACGGACCACCGGUUGCGAAAGCGCCUCUGGAGAACGGACCCGACGGUGAGGGACGAAAGCUAGGGUCUCGAACCGGAUUAGAUACCCGGGUAGUCCUAGCCGUAAACGAUGCUCGCUAGUGUGACGCAGGCUACGAGCCUGCGUUGCGCCGUAGGGAAGCCGAGAAGCGAGCCGCCUGGGAAGUACGUCCGCAAGGAUGAAACUUAAAGGAAUUGGCGGGGGAGCACUACAACCGGAGGAGCCUGCGGUUUAAUUGGACUCAACGCCGGACAUCUCACCGGCACCGACAACGUGCAGUGACGGUCAGUUUGAUGAGCUUACCUGAGCCGUUGAGAGGAGGUGCAUGGCCGCCGUCAGCUCGUACCGUGAGGCGUCCUGUUAAGUCAGGCAACGAGCGAGACCCGCGUCCAUAAUUGCCAGCAGCACCCUUGUGGUGGCUGGGUACAUUAUGGAGACUGCCGUCGCUAAGACGGAGGAAGGAACGGGCAACGGUAGGUCAGUAUGCCCCGAAUGUGCCGGGCGACACGCGGGUACAAUGGCCAGGACAGUGGGACGCUACCCCGAGAGGGGACGCUAAUCUCCUAACCCUGUCGUAGUUCGGAUUGCGGAUUGAAACUCAUC
rnacentral:rRNA from 1 species